GCGGGAAUAGCUCAGUGGUAGACCCCAACCUUGCCAAGGUUGGGGUCGCGAGUUCGAGCCUCGUUUCCCGCUCCA
rnacentral:tRNA from 1 species